UCCAUUUGAAUCAUCUUUACUACAGAUUCAGAGCACAAACCAAUGUGAACUGAAACACAAAGAAAGAAACCACACUUUUGUUAUUAAAACAGAUCAAUCCAAGAUUUUCUUGAAAAUUAAACUUCGUAUUUCAGCUUCCUCAACUAAAGAUUUCUAUGAAAUCGAAACUAAGGCUAAAGAAUCAGUUUCAAACCAUAAGUUCUCGUAGUGAAGAAAUCAUUACCUUCGUCUUCACGUUUGCAGGAGAAUCCGAAAUCCAAGAGCAGAUCUGUAAUGAAUAGAAUAUACAGAUCGCAAAACAGAGAGAGAAAUUAAGAUUCUCGCAAAACAGAGAGAGAAAUUCCGAUUCUUCUUCUUUUUUUUUUUUUUUUUUGUCAGACCACAAUCAUGAAGAAUAUAUAAAUCUACAAAAAUAGAUAUUACUUACAUAUUUGAUUGAUAUUAUGAACUCUUGAAGACUUGUAUACACUUUUGUUUUCGCUUUCUCUUUAUGUGAAAGAAAGAGAUUUAUACAAAAAAAAAAAGUGUGUAGGAGCAGAAGAGGACCACGAUUGGUGGUAACGGGUAAGCGUUAUUUUAGAGAAAUUAGUUAAUAAAUUUACCUUUUUACCCAUGCAGUUACAUCAAUUCUAUUGACUUUUGUGGGACAUUAAAGGGUACAUAUGAGAUAAUACUUGCAGCUUGGCUUCGUAGUACAGUAACUAAUGAAGGAAUUGUUUAUUACUAUUUGUUAAGCAAAUGACAAAGUGCACUUGAUUCUUGUCGUUUUUCACUAACUAGUAGUUCCAUUACUCAACAUUAUAAGAUAUUUUUGCUAUUUUAUUAACACAAAGUUACAUGUUUAAGACUUAAGAGUAACUUACAGUUAUAGGUAAUGGUAUAAAUGUGGUUUGCAGUACAUUUAUCAUCAAUUUUGUGGGUUUGACUGUUAGGUUAAAUUAAAAAUCGUAGACCUUUUUGUUACACGAGUUAGAUCCGACAAGGAAGAAACCCCACAUUGUCUGGGCUGGAAUGGUCAGUUUUUUUAGUACAUUUCUAGUAGUCAUGAGACAAUGCAUUCAAAAAUCUCUAACAAUGAUUCAUUGAAUAGAGAAAAUAGUUACCAAAUAAUAACUUCCUCCAAAUAAUUAAUACUUAAGGUUAAUAAAAUGUAUAGUUUCAAUAUUAUUAAUAUUUAAAUUUUAAAACAAACCAAUUUUUGGUCCGAACAUUUAAAUUCAUAUUAAUUCAUAGAAAAAAUAUGAUGAUAUUUAAAGACAUAACAAAUCAAAGGAAUUUUAUUAGUAAAUAAAAAUUAAAUAUACUUUCUUCAAAUAUUAUAUCUUCUCAAAUAAAUUCAAAUAAAAAAAUUAUAUAUUAUGGAACGGGUUAUAUAGCAGGACGAAUUAUAUAGCAGGAUGGAUUACAUAACGGGACGGGUUAUAUAGCAGGACGGGUUAGAAUGAAUAUUAUAUAAAUUUAAAAUAUCAUUAAGACGGUGCUACAACACGGAUUAAAUCUUCAAUUUAUUAUUUUGUCAACACUACCAAAUAUAGAAUAUUAGACAUAUCAAAAACUUUACCUCAUUAUUUUUUUAUUUUAUAACUGGAAAAAGGAAAAAAACGAGUUUCAAUAGCUCCCCAAUCGUAUGUCAUCUUAUCCUCAGCGUUAUUAACCAACAAUAUAAAAAAACGUCAGCCCGUGCUGUAGCAAACUCACCGACAAUACUAGCUUAUUUAAAUUUCAUUGGCUACACUAAUUUUUACCUUAUUAACCUAUGAAAACAAUUAAUUAUUAAUAUCCUUUCUAAAAAUGUACAAAAAUAUAUACCCGCAGCGGCCCGGGUUAAAUCCUUGCAGAAACCUAAGGAUCAGACUCAUGUCCUAUUUUAAUUCACACAUAUGAAAAAACAACAAUUCCAACUUACGUAUGAUCAUGUACGUUUAAUAUCAUCCACCAAUCUAAAUCCAUUUUUUAAACAUUAACCAAUUAUAAAAUACAUACAAAGGACUCUAAAAAAAUAUCGUUUCGCGGCGGCCGCGGGUUAGAAUCUAGUAUGACAUUAUGGAUGGAUCAACUUAUGGAUUGUUCAUGUAUUCGACUGCAUGGUUUAACUACUUUAGAGAUAGACAUCAUUAUGGGAAACACAAAUACGAUAAUCAUGCGAUUGGAGUGAACCGAGAAGGCAUAUACGACCAAUGUUUGGCUGCAAGUUAUUCGUCGUGUCUGGUUAUCUAUGUCAUUAGGUUAAGGAGUUAUAUGCUUAUAAAAAAUGAUGCACAUUCAAAAUUUAUGAUGCAUUACCCACUGGAAGAAGCAAAUGAAGAAGAUGGAGAUAUACAAGAAGAAGCACUGGUUUAUCUUCAUUACUUAAAAAAAAUUAUUUCGUUACGGACAACAAAUGUUAUGAAGUGGGGGAGAGAUGUCUCGAGAUACUUUUUAAAUUGUCCACUCAACAUAAUUUAAUAAAUAUAAACAGAUAUAUUAAUUGUAGGUUGACAAAGUGUUAAUUUAAUUAAAAAUAUAUAGAUAUUAGUUGACAAUUAAACUUAAACUUCGUAUUUUAGCUUCCUCAACUCAGAUUUCUAUGAAAUUGAAACUAAGGCUAAAGAAUCCGUUUCAAACCAUAAGUUCUCGUAAUGAUGAGAUCAUUACCUUCGUCUUCACGUUU
rnacentral:lncRNA from 1 species